UGAGGUUUAGGUGCUGAUUCCCGGGCGCUGGAUGGCGACCGCGGCCUAGGAGUGGAGGUCGGGGCAAGUUACGGAAAUGCUGCGGUACAGGAGGACUGUGAAGUGGGUGCUGUGAAGAGGGCAGGAGCAUCUGAAUCACAGGAGACUGCAUGUGGUGGCCAGAAUAAACCAAGUCUCAAGGGAGCCCAGCUGUGCUGGGCAGUGGAUUUGCA